rnacentral:rRNA from 1 species
GCGCAGCAGGCGAGAAUAGUCUACAAUGGACGAAAGUCUGAUAGUGCGACGCCGUGUGUGCGAUUAAUUCCUUCGGGAUGUAAAGCACUUUUCUAUGAGAUAAAGCUCUUUAGGUUAAUAGCUUAUUGAGACGGAUAUUAUUAUAGGAAUAAGCUCCGGCUAACUCCGUGCCAGCAGCCGCGGUAAUACGGAAGGAGCGAGCGUUGUCCGGAUUUACUAGGCGUAAAGGGCUAGUAGGCGACUAAGUUAAGUUAUAUGUUAAAUCCCACGGCUCAACUGUGGUCCUGCAUGUAAUACUGGUUAGAUAGAGUACUGUAGAGGAAGGCAGAAUUCCUGGAGUAGCGGUGGAAUGGCGCAGAUAUCAGGAAGAAUACCAAAAGCGAAGGCAGCCUUCUGGGCAG